GCAGAGUAGACAGCCUUGCGUUAAGUGUCCGGCGGACGGGGAGUUGCCGUCGGAACGAAGGAUUUUCCACGGUUUGGCUGUCGCAUCCCGCUGC
rnacentral:ncRNA from 1 species